ACUCCUACGGGAGGCAGCAGUAGGGAAUAUUAGAAAUGGACGAAAGUCUGAUCUAGCAACACCGCGUGUGCGAAGAAGGCCUUCGGGUCGUAAAGCACUUUUUGGAAGGAAUAGGAAGGAAUGUACUUCCAGAAUAAGUCUCGGCUAACUACGUGCCAGCAGCCGCGGUAACACGUAGGAGGCAAACGUUAUCCGGAUUUACUGGGCGUAAAGCGCGUGUAGGUGGUACUGUAAGUAGGGCGUGAAAGCUCCUGGCUCAACUGGGAGAGGCCGUUCUAAACUACAGAACUAGAGGAUGGUAGAGGGAGGUGGAAUUCCAGGUGUAGCGGUGGAAUGCGCAGAUAUCUGGAGGAACACCAGUGGCGAAAGCGGCCUCCUGGACCAUUCCUGACACUCAGACGCGAAAGCUAGGGUAGCAAACGGGAUUAGAGACCCCGGUAGUCCUAGCCCUAAACGAUGUAGACUUGGCGUCGGUGGCUUAAUCGUCAUCGGUGUCGUAGCUAACGCGAUAAGUCUACCGCCUGGGGACUACGGCCGCAAGGUUAAAACUCAAAGGAAUUGACGG
rnacentral:rRNA from 1 species